rnacentral:rRNA from 1 species
AGUGAACGCUGGCGGUAGGCCUAACACAUGCAAGUCGAACGGCAGCACAGUAAGAGCUUGCUCUUACGGGUGGCGAGUGGUGGACGGGUGAGGAAUACAUCGGAAUCUACUUUUUCGUGGGGGAUAACGUAGGGAAACUUACGCUAAUACCGCAUACGACCUACGGGUGAAAGCAGGGGAUCUUCGGACCUUGCGCGAUUGAAUGAGCCGAUGUCGGAUUAGCUAGUUGGCGGGGUAAAGGCCCACCAAGGCGACGAUCCGUAGCUGGUCUGAGAGGAUGAUCAGCCACACUGGAACUGAGACACGGUCCAGACUCCUACGGGAGGCAGCAGUGGGGAAUAUUGGACAAUGGGCGCAAGCCUGAUCCAGCCAUACCGCGUGGGUGAAGUAGGCCUUCGGGUUGUAAAGCCCUUUUGUUGGGAAAGAAAAGCAGCAGGUUAAUACCCCGCUGUUCUGACGGUACCCAAAGAAUAAGCACCGGCUAACUUCGUG